AGAAUCAACGCUGGCGGCGUGCCUAACACAUGCAAGUCGCACGAGAAAGGGGCUUCGGCCCUGAGUAAAGUGGCGCACGGGUGAGUAACACGUGACUAACCUACCCUCGAGUGGGGAAUAACCUAGAGAAAUCUGGGCUAAUACCGCAUAACACUUACGAGUCAAAGCAGCAAUGCGCUUGAGGAGGGGGUCGCGGCAGAUUAGUUAGUUGGCAGGGUAAUGGCCUACCAAGACAAUGAUCUGUAUCCGGCCUGAGAGGGCGCACGGACACACUGGAACUGAAACACGGUCCAGACUCCUACGGGAGGCAGCAGUGGGGAAUUUUGCGCAAUGGGGGAAACCCUGACGCAGCAACGCCGCGUGGAGGAUGAAAUCCCUUGGGAUGUAAACUCCUUUCGAUAGGGAAGAUAAUGACGGUACCUAUAGAAGAAGCCCGGCUAACUUCGUGCCAGCAGCCGC
rnacentral:rRNA from 1 species